UUCAGUAUGUUUCUUUUACUGUCUGUAGUCUAAACAAGAAGUUUUAUAUUUUGUAUUUUUCAUUUUCUAGAUAUUAAAUUACUCCUUUGCUCAGAAAGGUCAUUUAAGAGGGACAGCAAUAUAUCACUUCACUGAUACUUGUCAUGUGUCCAAGGCUGGAGAAGGCAUUGCUUCUUUGGAGCAGGGCACUUUGCUCUGAAGCAGGGACAGGUCUCCCCUCAGGCUCUCAACACUCAGUGUGGGUGGAGCUCCCUGUAAUGCACUGUUCUGGCCUGGGACAACUAUGCUGCAGUUAUAUGGCUGUUUUUAGGCCUGGUUUUUUUUUUGUUUGUUUUGCUUUUUUUCCCCUCUGCUGUUGACAUUUCCCUCUGUAGGAAGAGCAAUUUAAGGGUAAGUUCAGAACUGGAUUGGAAUCAUGGCUAGAACAUGUACCAGUGUUGUGACUUUGAGUAAAGACCUUAAAUUCAUAGACUUUUGCUUUUUCUCAUCUGUAAAAUGGAAGUAAUGAUUACUACCUUCCAGGGAACUUGUAAGGACUAAAUAGAAUGUAAAAUGUCUUUGGUUUCAUUAAAUUCUGACUGGAAAAAUGAACCUAUCAUCUAGUGUAUAAACACCACAAAUGUAUUAUAUAGUGAACUGAAAUACAGAGAACGUGAUACAAAUGUUAUGGAAUAGCUGAAAAGCCAAGCAAGGAGUGGUUAGGCAACUUGGUGAUUAGUAUUAAUAGCAUCAGGAAGCAAAUUCCACUCCUCUACUGAGGCCACAGGGAGAGGGGACAGCAUUACUACAACUCAAGGACCAUGUUGGUCUUGGCAAGCCAGAACUGAACUGUAGCCAGUACAUCUUCAUGGGGACACACUAACACUGAUGCUCUGAAACAGAAGAGAAACGUUCUACUUCUCCCAAGUCCCACCCUCAGUCCCCACCCUUUUUCUCCCAUCAGUUGAACUAAGCCAGAAGCCACUAGACAUGGAAGCCAGCCUAAGAAAUCCAUUAGCCUGUUGGACACAACUUCCAUAACAUCCAGAGAGACUAGAAAAAGGUCAAAGAAUGGCUCAGAUAGUAAUAGUCCUAGGACUGGUACCCAUGGCAUGAUACAUUGGUACUUAAUUGAGAUGUCAGUAGAUCCGUGUCUUUUUCCCCUGGGGUCCAGGAGUCUUUCAGUUCUCUUUCUCCUCCCUCAUUUCCCUACUCUGACCUUUUAAAGGUCCCCUGAAACCUGGUAGAGGUCAGAAAAGAGACUUCAGCCUCAGCACAGGGCCUUCAUUCUCUCUAAUGCUUCUUCCUUCCUAUGCUAUGGACUUCUUGGAAUCCAUCUCUUUUCUGCCCAUUUUUUUUUUCCCCUGAGAGAAAAUAAUUUAUCCUUUAGAUGAAUGCAGAGAAUUUUCUUAAUAUCUCUCACUUCAUUCUCUUCAGGGGAACCUUCCAGCUUUCCAAUUCGUCAUCCUAAAUCCAGGGGACCUGAUUUACUUUAAAAGCAUACAUCCAAACAUCAUAUUAGGCGCUAGAAAACCCUACCAUAAUAUUGAUGAAUGUAACUCUUCCCAACAAUGCCUAUGACUGGACAAAAGACUAAUUCUUAAGUAGUUGCUGAAAAAUCAAGAAAUGUUAUUCUUGACCCCUGGCUAUAUUUAUUGGGCUUCUCAAGGGGCAGAGUAGUAAAAAAUCUACUUGCCAGGAGACACAAGAGACACGGGUUCAAUCCCAGGUUGGAAGACCCUCUGGAGUAGGAAAUGGCAAACCCACUCCAGAACUUGCCUGGAAAAUUCCAUGGUCAGAGGAGCAUGGUGGGCCACAACCCAUAGGAUUGCAAAGAUUCAGACAUGACUAAGUGUGCACAGGUGCCCAUCCCCCCAACAUUUAUUAUAGAAUUCUUAAUGGGCUUGUAUAUCUAAUUUCCAUACCCUCAGCAAGUCAUCAAAACUGGGAGCAUUGUAGGGGGAUGAGGAAAAUGGGAACAAGACAAAAAUACACAUAUCCUUACAGGCAAGCCUGGAUUGAGUGAAGAAACAUUAAACAUCAUUUUGAAGUGCCAAAAUGAACCAAACUGUAUUCCCCAAUGGUCUGGAUGUUGUGAAUGUUUAUUUUGAAUAAAGGAUUAUUAAAUAGUUUCUGGCA
ensembl:lncRNA